GUGCCAGCAGCCGCGGUAAUACGUAGGGGGCAAGCGUUGUUCGGAAUUACUGGGCGUAAAGGGCGCGUAGGCGGCACGGCAAGUCGGGAGUGAAAGCCCGGGGCUCAACCCCGGAGGGUCUUCCGAAACUGCCGAGCUAGAGUGCGGAAGAGGCAACCGGAAUUCCCAGUGUAGCGGUGAAAUGCGUAGAUAUUGGGAAGAACACCAGAGGCGAAGGCGGGUUGCUGGGCCGACACUGACGCUGAGGCGCGAAAGCCAGGGGAGCAAACGGGAUUAGAUACCCUGGUAGUCC
rnacentral:rRNA from 1 species